rnacentral:lncRNA from 1 species
AACUUUUUGAUUUGUAUGUUCUUAUGUGUUAGGGAUCUCAAACUUGCCAAGUAGAAGAACCAUUGUCAUGAGCAUCCAAAGUGAGAGAUACAAAAGCCAAUUGGAAGAUUCCUAGGAGCUUGAUUGUUAUUUGCUUGAUUGCUUGAGUUAUUUGCUAUUGCUUGCUAAAUCCAAAGGAAGGAGUAACUUGGAUCAUCUCUAUGAUCUCAAGAAGGGAACUCCAAUAUGGUUUUAUUUCUCCUCCUUCAUCUUUGCAUGCUUAGGACCUAGCC